rnacentral:rRNA from 1 species
GCAUAUCAAUAAGCGGAGGAAAAGAAACUAACAAGGAUUCCCCUAGUAACUGCGAGUGAAGCGGGAAAAGCUCAAAUUUAAAAUCUGGCAGUCUUUGGCUGUCCGAGUUGUAAUCUGGAGAAGUGUUUUCCGCGCUGGACCGUGUACAAGUCUCUUGGAACAGAGCGUCAUAGAGGGUGAGAAUCCCGUCUUUGACACGGACUACCAGUGCUUUGUGAUGCGCUUUCAAAGAGUCGAGUUGUUUGGGAAUGCAGCUCAAAAUGGGUGGUAAAUUCCAUCUAAAGCUAAAUAUUGGCGAGAGACCGAUAGCGAACAAGUACCGUGAGGGAAAGAUGAAAAGCACUUUGGAAAGAGAGUUAAACAGUACGUGAAAUUGCUGAAAGGGAAACGCUUGAAGUCAGUCGCGUCGUCUAGAACUCAACCUGGCUUUUGCUUGGUGCACUUUCUAGUUGACGGGCCAACAUCAGUUUUGACUGCUGGAAAAAUUCCAUUGGAAUGUGGCACCUCCGGGUGUGUUAUAGCCUUUGGUUGUAUACAGUGGUUGGGACUGAGGACCGCAGCACGCCUUAUGGCCGGGGUUCGCCCACGUACGUGCUUAGGAUGUUGGCGUAAUGGCUUUAAGCGACCCGUCUUGAAACACGGACCAAGGAGUCUAACAUGCCUGCGAGUGUUUGGGUGGAAAACCCGAGCGCGCAAUGAAAGUGAAAGUUGGGAUCCCUGUCGUGGGGAGCACCGACGCCCAUACCAGACCUACUGUGACGGAUAUGCGGUUGAGCAUGUAUGUUGGGACCCGAAAGAUGGUGAACUAUGCCUGAAUAGGGUGAAGCCAGAGGAAACUCUGGUGGAGGCUCGUAGCGAUUCUGACGUGCAAAUCGAUCGUCAAAUUUGG